AGUGCCCACCUCGCGGCGCCUCCUGUUCCGUUGCUGCCGCUGGUCCGAGGAGGAAGGAGCUGCUGCCGAGGGAAUUAGACCUUGGAACGCAGACGGGGGACAGAGGCUGCUAGCCGGGAACAAGAUCGGCCCCUCUCGAGAGCAGCUCCGUUAGCUGGUCAGAAAUCAGGCAGACGUCAACUAGGUUACUAGCUGUUGAACAUCUCCCUUGAGCUGGAGCUGCUGCGUGUUUACAGCCCCACACUUGCAGAGCGCCCGCGGGCCGCCCUCUUCCUUCCUCUUCUCCUCAGACCACUGUUCUCCUCCCGAGUAGGCACCCGCUCACUCCUACCUUGGCUUCCUUUUGGGGAUUCAGUUUAUCUCCUCAACUGCUGGUCUCUCCUUCCUGGUCGGAAAUGUCAGUGGAGACUUGUCAGCAACCAGAGGGGACACAGUGCAGCCUGAAGAGCAUGGGAGAAGCUGGGAACGGCCAGCUCCCGCCCCGAGCUUCUGGAGGACUCUCCAGGCCUGAGGGGACAGGAUGGAUCAUUCAGUCCUUCUGGACAGCUUUUCCUAUGGACAGCAGCAUCAGCGCCUCCUGCCACAGCACGGGGGCCUGUCUGUAAAUACUAAAGGAGCUGAUGGGGAAGAAGGAAGGAGGGGCAUGGGAUCAGGGUCCCAGGACCACAGCCUUUGGGUCCCAGAAAGCAAGUGGCACAUGCUUCUGUUGUAGCCUAAGGAGGGGGUUCGUUUGUUUCGUACCUUUGCUGACAUCAGGAUUCUCCCUGCCAACGAGAAGAAAGCAUUAUCCUUUUACCUUCAGGUGGUUUACUAUUCUGUAAAGAAUAUGUGUAAAUAUUUUGUACAGAGCCCUGUAUAAAAUAAACAGCCAUAUGUGGUUACUAAUCCA
rnacentral:lncRNA from 1 species